AGCGGCAUUGUUUGACGUUACUUACAGAAGAAGCACCGGCUAAUUCCGUGCCAGCAGCCGCGGUAAUACGGAGGGUGCGAGCGUUAAUCGGAAUUACUGGGCGUAAAGCGCAUGCAGGCGGUCUGUUAAGCAAGAUGUGAAAGCCCGGGGCUCAACCUCGGAACAGCAUUUUGAACUGGCAGACUAGAUUCUGGUAGAGGGGGGUAGAAUUUCAGGUGUAGCGGUGAAAUGCGUAGAGAUCUGAAGGAAUACCGGUGGCGAAGGCGGCCCCCUGGACAAAGACUGACGCUCAGAUGCGAAAGCGUGGGGAGCAACCAGGAUUAGAUACCCUGGUAGUCCACGCCGUAAACGAUGUCUACUUGGAGGUUGUGCCCUUGAGCCGUGGCUUUGGGAGCUAACGCGUUAAGUAGACCCCCUGGGGAGUACGGUCGCAAGAUUAAAACUCAAAUGAAUUGA
rnacentral:rRNA from 1 species